AUUGAACGCUGGCGGCAGGCCUAACACAUGCAAGUCGAACGAGUGGCGGACGGGUGAGUAAUGCCUGGGAAUCUAGCUAAUGGAGGGGGAUAACUACGGGAAACGGUAGCUAAUACCGCGUACCAUAGGAUGAGCCCAAGUGGGAUUAGCUAGUUGGUGGGGUAAAGGCGCACCAAGGCGACGAUCCCUAGCUGGUCUGAGAGGAUGACCAGCCACACUGGAACUUAGACACGGCCCAGACUCCUACGGGAGGCAGCAGUGGGGAAUAUUGCGCAAUGGGGGCAACCUGACGCAGCCAUGCCGCGUGUAUGAAGAAGGCCUUAGGGUUGUAAAGUUCUUUCGGUAGCGAGGCGUUACCUACAGAAGAAGCACCGGCUAACUCCGUGCCAGCCGCCGCGGUAAUUC
rnacentral:rRNA from 1 species